GAUGAACGCUGGCGGCGUGCCUAAUACAUGCAAGUCGAGCGAAUGGAUUAGGAGCUUGCUCUUAUGAAGUUAGCGGCGGACGGGUGAGUAACACGUGGGUAACCUGCCCAUAAGACUGGGAUAACUCCGGGAGACCGGGGCUAAUACCGGAUAACAUUUUGAGCCGCAUGGUUCGAAAUUGAAAGGCGGCUUCGGCUGUCACUUAUGGAUGGACCCGCGUCGCAUUAGCUAGUUGGUGAGGUAACGGCUCACCAAGGCAACGAUGCGUAGCCGACCUGAGAGGGUGAUCGGCCACACUGGGACUGAGACACGGCCCAGACUCCUACGGGAGGCAGCAGUAGGGAAUCUUCCGCAAUGGACGAAAGUCUGACGGAGCAACGCCGCGUGAGUGAUGAAGGCUUUCGGGUCGUAAAACUCUGUUGUUAGGGAAGAACAAGUGCUAGUUGAAUAAGCUGGCACCUUGACGGUACCUAACCAGAAAGCCACGGCUAACUACGUGCCAGCAGCCGCGGUAA
rnacentral:rRNA from 1 species